rnacentral:rRNA from 1 species
CUAUUUUGUUGGUUUUCAGAACUCCGAGGUAAUGAUUAAUAGGGAUAACUGGGGGCAUUCGUAUUGCGACGUUAGAGGUGAAAUUCUUGGAUCGUCGCAAGACGAACAUCAGCGAAAGCAUUUGCCAAAGGUGUUUUCAUCAAUCAAGAACGAAAGUUAGAGGUUCGAAGGCGAUUAGAUACCGCCCUAGUUCUAACCGUAAAUAUGUCAUCUAGCGAUCCGCCGACGUUACUACUAUGGCUCGGCGGGCAGCUUCCGGGAAACCAAAGAUUUUGGACUCCGGGGGGAGUAUGGUUGCAAAGCUGAAACUUAAAGGAAUUGACGGAAGGGCACCACCAGGAGUGGAGCCUGCGGCUUAAUUUGACUCAACACGGGAAAUCUCACCAGGCCCGGACACCGGAAGGAUUGACAGAUUAACAGCUCUUUCUUGAUUCGGUGGGUGGUGGUGCAUGGCCGUUCUUAGUUGGUGGAGCGAUUUGUCUGGUUAAUUCCGGUAACGAACGAGACUCUAGCCUGCUAAAUAGGCGUCGUCAUUUAUGUGUGCGUGGCUUCGGUCGCGCAACUCACUGGCGACGUAUUAAAAUUCUUCUUAGAGGGACCGGCGGCUUCGAGCCGCACGAGAUUGAGCAAUAACAGGUCUGUGAUGCCCUUAGAUGUCCUGGGCCGCACGCGCGCUACACUGAAGGAAUCAGCAUGUUCUCCCUGGCCUAGAGGCCCGGGCAACCCGUUGAAACUCCUUCGUGCUGGGGAUUGGGGUUUGCAAUUAUCCCCCAUAAACGAGGAAUUCCUAGUAAGCGCGAGUCAUAAGCUCGCGUUGAUUACGUCCCUGCCCUUUGUACACACCGCCCGUCGCUACUACCGAUUGAAUGAUUUAGUGAGGUCUUCGGACCGACACGCGGUG